rnacentral:rRNA from 1 species
UACAGAGGGUGCAAGCGUUAAUCGGAAUUACUGGGCGUAAAGCGCGUGUAGGUGGAUAAGCAAGUUGGAUGUGAAAGCCCCGGGCUCAACCUGGGAAUGCCAUUCAAAACUGCUUGUCUAGAGUAUGGUAGAGGGAAGUGGAAUUUCAGGUGUAGCGGUGAAAUGCGUAGAUAUCUGAAGGAACACCAGUGGCGAAGGCGGCUUCCUGGACCAAUACUGACACUGAGACGCGAAAGCGUGGGUAGCGAACAGG